AUUGAACGCUGGCGGCAGGCCUAACACAUGCAAGUCGAGCGGAUGAAGGGAGCUUGCUCCUGGAUUCAGCGGCGGACGGGUGAGUAAUGCCUAGGAAUCUGCCUGGUAGUGGGGGAUAACGUCCGGAAACGGGCGCUAAUACCGCAUACGUCCUGAGGGAGAAAGUGGGGGAUCUUCGGACCUCACGCUAUCAGAUGAGCCUAGGUCGGAUUAGCUAGUUGGUGGGGUAAAGGCCUACCAAGGCGACGAUCCGUAACUGGCCUGAGAGGAUGAUCAGUCACACUGGAACUGAGACACGGUCCAGACUCCUACGGGAGGCAGCAGUGGGGAAUAUUGGACAAUGGGCGAAAGCCUGAUCCAGCCAUGCCGCGUGUGUGAAGAAGGUCUACGGAUUGUAAAGCACUUUAAGUUGGGAGGAAGGGCAGUAAGUUAAUACCUUGCUGUUUUGACGUUACCAACAGAAUAAGCACCGGCUAACUUCGUG
rnacentral:rRNA from 1 species